rfam:Saprolegnia parasitica CBS 223.65 unplaced genomic scaffold supercont2.40, whole genome shotgun sequence.
GGUCCCGUGGUGUAAUUGGCAGCACUCUCGACUCCUAAUCGAGCAAUCCGAGUUCGAAUCUCGGUGGGACCU